rnacentral:piRNA from 1 species
UAUGGAUGCAGAAAAAUUUGCUG